CCCUUAGAUGUUCUGGGCCGCACGCGUGCUACACUGAGUGGAUCAGCGGGUCAGGUUGCGCGAAAGUGUUUCCUAAUCUUUAAAUCCGCUCGUGAUGGGGAUUGACGGUUGCAAUUUUCCGUCAUGAACGAGGAAUACCUUGUAAGCGCGGGUCAUCAUCCCGCGCUGAAUACGUCCCUGCCCUUUGUACACACCGCCCGUCGCUCCUACCGAUUGAAUGGUCCGGUGAAGUGUUCGGAUCGCGGCGACGUGGGCGGUUCGCCGCCGACGACGUCGCGAGAAGUCCACUGAACCUUAUCAUUUAGAGGAAGGAGAAGUCGUAACA
rnacentral:rRNA from 1 species